CAGCCGCCACGGUAAUACAGAGGGUGCGAGCGUUAAUCGGAUUUACUGGGCGUAAAGCGUGCGUAGGCGGCUUUUUAAGUCGGAUGUGAAAUCCCUGAGCUUAACUUAGGAAUUGCAUUCGAUACUGGGAAGCUAGAGUAUGGGAUAGGAUGGUAGAAUUCCAGGUGUAGCGGUGAAAUGCGUAGAGAUCUGGAGGAAUACCGAUGGCGAAGGCAGCCAUCUGGCCUAAUACUGACGCUGAGGUACGAAAGCAUGGGGAGCAAACAGGAUUAGAUACCCCUGUAGUCCCUGUCUCUUAUAC
rnacentral:rRNA from 1 species